AGAGCGAACGCUGGCGGCAGGCCUAACACAUGCAAGUCGAGCGCGUGUAGCAAUACACGAGCGGCAGACGGGAGAGUAACACGUGGGAACGCGCCCUUCGGUUCGGAAUAACUCAGGGAAACUUGAGCUAAUACCGGAUACGCCCUUACGGGGGAAAGAUUUAUUGCCGAAGGAACGGCCCGCGUCCGAUUAGCUAGUUGGUGAGGUAACGGCUCACCAAGGCGACGAUCGGUAGCUGGUCUGAGAGGAUGACCAGCCUCACUGGGACUGAGACACGGCCCAGACUCCUACGGGAGGCAGCAGUGGGGAAUAUGGACAAUGGGCGCAAGCCUGAUCCAGCCAUGCCGCGUGGAUGAUGAAGGCCUUAGGGUUGUAAAGUCCUUUUAACGGGGAAGAUAAUGACGGUACCGUAGAAUAAGCCCCGGCUAACUUCGUGCCAGCAGCCGC
rnacentral:rRNA from 1 species